rnacentral:lncRNA from 1 species
CGCAUUACGGGGCCGCCGCCGCCGCCUCGGCGCUGCAGGGCUACGGCCCCGUCGGGCUGGGGCUGGCGGCGGCGGGCCACGGGCAGCCGCCCCCUCCCCACGGCCCCCACGGGCAGCCGCACGUCGGGGCGGCGGCCGGAGCCUUCGUGCGCUACAUGCGGCAGCCCAUCAAGCAGGAGCUGAUCUGCAAGUGGAUCGAGAGGGAGGCGCCGGCGGGGGGCAGGAAGCCCUGCUCCAAAACUUUCGGCACCAUGCAGGAGCUGGUGAGCCAUGUCACCGUGGAGCACGUCGGCGGGCCCGAGCAGAGCAGCCACGUGUGCUACUGGGAGGAGUGUCCCCGCGAAGGCAAGCCCUUCAAAGCGAAAUACAAACUCAUCAACCACAUCCGAGUGCACACGGGAGAGAAGCCCUUCCCCUGCCCCUUCCCCGGCUGCGGGAAGGUCUUCGCCCGCUCCGAAAACCUCAAGAUCCACAAGCGGACUCACACAGGUGGGUAUUCCCCCGCCCCUCCCGGCCUUCCCUCUCCCCCUCUCUGUUGUUUUUUUUUUUUUUUUUUUUUUUUUUUUUCCCCUUUCCCCCCUCUUUUCCUCCUCUCCUACGUACCGCCGCCCAUGUGACUCCCCCAUCCAUAAGUACCGCCGGCGGCCCGCGGGACGCGCGCACACGGCCACGCACGGCCCCGCGGACGGACAGGCGGACACGCCGACGGACACGCGGCCCCCCCCCCCCCCCCCCCCCCCCCCCCCCCGCCGCCGGCAGCGCUCUCCCCACCCCCUCGGCCCCGCAGCCCGGCCCCGACCCGCCGGGGCCCCGGGGGCAGAGCCAGAAGAAGCGGGGACGAGACGGGCGCACGUCGGGGGGGGGCCGCGGGUCUCGCCGCCCCCCACCCUCCCGGCCCAGGGACACCCAUUUGGGGCCGGUGCCACGGCUCGGGAGAGCAGCGAGAGGACGGCGGCCCCGCUUCGCCCCCCUUCUGCCACCGGGGGGGCGCCGGGACCCCGCCGUCGGGGGUGCCCCCCUACCGGAGCCGCUCCCUCCC